CCAUAUAAAUCUUGAGUUUCAAAGUCCAUUUUUACGUCUAUUUUGCGCAAAACGUCUCCAACUCAAUCAAGUAUAAACAUAUACUGUAACCUUACCAAUUUGCUAAGGUUCAGUAUAUCAAAUAUAUUGACUAAAUUGUUAGUGUAAAAAAAACAUUACCUUUUUUUAUUUAUACUUACUUAACUUUUAAUUAUUUUAUUUAUAUUAUUUCACUCAAAUAAUUUUAAAAUUUACUAAAUCUAAUAGUAAUUCGGUUAAUAAUUUAAUUUCUUAAUUUUUACUAAAUACAAUUGUGAUAAUUGAUUAUUAUUAGUUGACCGAGCUAUUAACUUUAAUAUAAUCUUUUUAAUUAAAUAAAAUUUUAUCUAAAAUAAUUAGAAAUUAUGAAAGUAUUUACUAAAUAACAAAAAUUAAAAUAAAUUUAGAGUUGAGAAAGUAUUAUGUUUGCGCCAAGAACUUUUUUAAAAGAUAGGUUGGUCAAUAUA
rnacentral:lncRNA from 1 species